CAAUGGGAAGAUGGCGGCACUCGUUCGUGGGGCAGCUUUUGCCUUAGCAAAUGUUGGUUCAACGUUUUCAUAUUCAUCUGCAAGGCAAAGUGCUGUCGCAACGAGAGAAUGCCCUACAAUGUGCAACGG
rnacentral:precursor_RNA from 10 species